AAAACACACAACACUUCUCUCUUUCUCCCUCACAUUCUCUCAUCGGUCCCCACUCCUCACCACCACCUCCACCAUCUUUUCUGGCAAAGUUUACCAGAAAACUCCACAGGAAAAGAGCUAAGACUCACUCGUCUCUAUUAUUUGAGGUGUGAUUACCCAGCCAGAUGCCACAAUCUUUGUGACAUAGGUAUCUUGGCACCCCGUCUUUGUGACGAAUUGAUGUCUUUGUGGCAUGAUUGAUGUCUUUGUGGCAUAUUUGAUGUUUUUGUGGCAUAAUUGAUGUAUUCAUGGCAUAUUUGAUGUCUUCGUAGCAUAACUUGAUGUCUUUGUGGAUACCUUACGUCUUUAUGACUGCUUGUCUUGUGACCUUGUGUAAUCCAUUUGGAGUUUUGUAAUAUAUUCAUGUAUUACAUGGAGACACAUGAUUUUUAGUUAUUGUUUGUAAAUGUGCCAUUGAGCUUUGACUUUUAAUGUGGAGAUUUUAGUAUGGUUAUAUACUCUUAUCACGUGGAAAAGAAAAAGAAAAAGAAAAAUCUCCUAUAGUUUCUCUCUUGAUGGUUCUUUUCUCAUGCUUUGGACCCUCUUGGGUUUGGGGCGUGACAUUUAUGGUUCUCUCUCUCUCUCUCUCUAACGGUGGUUGAAGACUUCCUCUCUUAAGCUUUGGCCAUGGGUGAAACUCAUGUUUCCAUUACCAUCUUGCACUCUCUUUGAAUCAAUGCCAUAAAGAUAAUUGGCUAGGGAUUUUCAAGAUUUUCCUCACCAUUGCUGCUGUUAUUCCUUGUUGUAGGCUCUGAUUGAGUGUUACUGACACUAGCUUUGGUGUUCCUUAGUUAUGGAUAAGAAUGUUUGUAUUUAUGUUUCUUUUUUUUUUUUGUUUGGGUUUGGGUUUUAGUUUGUGUUCGAAAUCCACAAGCUCUGCCACCACCGCAAGUGACAAAUCAUACUAGUAAUGCCACCAAUAGUGGCCGCCAGUAUUUCUACUCUUUUUUUGUUAGUUUGUUAUUGGUUGAUUUAGGUUGGGUUUUAUCAUGGUGAUAAGGAUUUGUUGAUUUUUUAUUUGGGUUUGAAAGGUGGGGUUUGGGUAUGGUCAUUUAUGGAUUUGUGGGUGUUUUUUGAUUUGGGCUUCGUCUCAAAAUGAGUCUAAUAUGGUGUUUUUUUUUUUUUUUUUUUUGGGUGUAUGUAUGAUUAUGAAUAUAUGUGUAUACUUUGUAAUCGUUAUUUUUGGGGGUUUAAGGUUUUGUGUGUGUGUGUUUGUGUUCUAUGACAUGCUGCAGCUGUGAAGUGUGAUUUGUGCUCAAAAUGCAUGCGUAUAGCAACUUAAUCAUAGUGAAUAGAACUCAAUAAGAUUUUAGCAUGAACAUAAUCAUUUAGUAAAGAUGAGGGUUUGCAAGAAAAGAGAUAGAAGAGAGGUUAAGAAUAAGUAAAUGGCUAAGAGCAUUUCCAGCAAAUUCAUCAAAUUUUUGUAUUGUUUAGAGAAUAAACAAUGACUUUUAUUUAUAUUUACUCACUUUUUCAAAUACACUUUUCAACAGAUUCUCUAUCACAUUCUUUAUCUCAUUUAAAUAUUAUUUAUUCAUUCAUUAUUUAUUUAUUUUUUAACAAUUACACAUCUUCCAACAUUUUUUUAUUCAACACUUGAUUAUUAUAAUAGAAAAAAAAAAUUUUGAAGAAUGAACAGUAGCCCAUCAGACUUGAUGAGCUACUGUUCAUGAGCCCAAAAAAAUUUUGGGUAUAAAGAAUCCAUUGGCGUGGCUUUUUUUUGUCUCAUUUUCUAUUAUAGAGAAUAUUUUGCUUUUGCAUAGACCAUUGGAGAUGCUCUAAUAGUGUUUAGGGACCAAGUUAGUCACUUUUGAAAAGUGUUGGUCUUAGUUGGCAUUAGUUCAAAUCUGAAGGUAAUUUACUAAAAUUUACCCAAAAAAGAAAUAAAGGUAUAAUUUGAAUUUUUGCCUAACUAAAAAUGGAUUGAAUUGUUAUGUAAUGAAUUGAAAGAAUUUAUGUUUUAUUGGGGAUAACCUCCAUUCAUUUUUUUUUUUCAAUUUUUGGGAGAGAAACCUCCAUCCAAGAUGGUGGAAGUUACAACAUUGUUUUUUUAGAAUCAUGUUAGAAAGAAGUUAGAAUAACCGAAUUAAUAUGCGAACUUUUGUUUUAAAAAAAGAAGCCCAAAAUUUUUCCGAAACAAACAAAAAUAUUCCACGAACUGUUAUAUUUUAUUUUUUUUUAAAAAAAUUCACGAACUGUAUAUAAUAUAUAUCAUCUAGUAUUGGAUAGAAUGACCUGUAAUGAACGGCCUAAUCAAUAUCCAAAUAGUCAAUGACUCAGUAUUAU